rnacentral:lncRNA from 1 species
GGUGGCGUUGGCGUCCUAGAGCUCCGGAGUUGCUUACCCUUCCUGUAAGGGCAAUCGGACCCUUUCCGGUGAGGGAACCUCUCUCCAGACAUGAUCAAGAGAAACUGGCGAGGGACUGACAUGAUCUAGCUUACCUUGGGUCACCGAACGGAUUUGGCAUGUGACAUAAUUAUCCCAGCGAUCACUAAAACUGUAAAUUUGGAUGCAAUUAAGAGAGAAAACUCCACACAUUUAUGGAAAUUUAAGAUUUGCAGCUUGCUGGCUUGCUGAGUGGAAAAUGAUUCUUUCCCAGUUCUCCUUGGUUUCUUCCUUUCAUGAAUUGAUUAACACUGAGAGAUUAUGUUUUAAUUAUGUCGACUAGAGGUUUUAAAUGAUUCUAGGUUUCUGUGUCCAUUUGUUUUCCUAGGUUUGGGGAAUUUGCUACUGCAAUAUCGUUGUAUAGAUAUUCUUUGCUUUAGUGAGAAACUCAGCUCCUUCUACUCUGUGGUUCUUAGCUUUAGUCUAUUGUACACAUCACAGAGUUAAUGAAAGCUGUGGUCAUACUUGAUUUUUUCUUCAUUACUAUUGAAAUAAAGCAUAUCCUUGACCUUGUCUCCAAUCUCUAUUUUCAAGUCUGUUGGGGAUACAUUCCACUAUUGUUUGAUUGAAAUAUCCAUUUCCAACAUUUCUAUUACUUUGCUUCUUUUUUUUUUGUCCCCACCAAAAAUAAAUAUUUAUAGAAUUGUAAAUCAAAAUGAAACAUUUUUCUGUAUGUAUAAAAACAAAAGGAAACAAACAAAUAAAAAAAUCUGCAUAUUGA